UACAUCUGUUUCUUAAAUGAUCUUGAACUGAUUCUGCUGGAAAACAUUUCAAACCUAUAGUAAACAGUAAAAUAACAGGCCCUGGAAUAGGAAACAAUACGUCAUUUCCUUGUGAAAUAGUCUCACUUUUAAAUCAAGAUGCAACUUUGCGAGAAAUUUAUAGGUUACGUGGCAGUUAAUUUUGUUAGGUUUCAGUUCUGAGUAUUCCCAAGUAAAUCAGUUCCUCCGUAGAUAGCUUUUCCACGUAUGUGGGGUUUUUUUGGCCCUUCUGAAUAUUAGUGAAUUAUUUAUUGCAACAAAAUGUAGAUCUUCAACAUGUAACCAUAGACUUGCUCCAGGCCAGCGCAGAGUAUGGUGGCGAUGACACGUUAUCGUUUAGAUGCUGCUAAAGCAAUUCUUUUGUUAAUGACCAUGAAAAGCAAGUGAACUGUUGGUUUCAGACCUAGCUUCAUACUAAAGCAUCUUUUAUGAAAAACAGCAGGAGUACUUGAGAACAGACGCUGACAUGUCAGCAGUGAAAAACCGUCUUCAUAAAGCGUUUUUCCGGGAGGCUGCUUGAUGGGAGGCGUUUCUCUUGCUGAGUGAAUAUCGUAUUCUCUACAGCUCCCAGGCACGUGUUCUAGUUAGACCAUGCCUCAAACUAGAGGGAAUAGAAUCUAAUACACACACCAUGAGAUGUCAAGGAAAUUUUCCAAACAAGAAGUAAUAGACUCAUAAAUAAACAUGGUGUAGGGGUUAUCUAGACUUAGAAAUUGUGUGAGGGUUAUCAUUUUCUUUGAUUUGGGGAUUUAUAGUUCAGCCAAGGACUUGCAACAAUCCUUUGGGCAGUCUGAUUUCAGACAAAUGAAAAGUCAUGUUAGACGCUGGCAUUUUGUUUUUGUUCGUGUGUUUAAAUAAUAUUCAUGGGUUGAAGUCUUCAGGUGCACAAGUAGAUUUCCCUCAUAAGACUGAAUUUGCAGGACAAUAAACUUGAAUUGGUAUUUGUUUUCUUUCAGCCAAGCAUCAGUUGUGUUUUCUUGUUCACAUCAAGAUGGGAUUAAUAGAAUACAGUGUUAAUUGCAAUUAACUUUAACUUUGUCACUUUAACUGUAACUGUAACUUUAACAUGAUGUACUGUUUCAUAUUUAAAAUUAUCAAAAUUAUUGUAUAAUCCAUAAUAUUUGGGUUUAGGCAACUGUGCAUAAUAUAUAAUUCUGAGUUUAGGGAAUUAUGAAAACCAACAGCCUAUACAAAAUAAAAUAAAACACAAAAACACUGUCUGGAAAGUGAUGAACCUUUAACACUAAUCACCCCCCGGCUACGACUUCAGUUAGGAGCACUUCCUUUUCUGAGUCAGCCUUUAGUAAAAAUAUAUAUGCUUAGUAUGUCUACUAUAAGUAUUCCCAAGAUAGAAAUUGGGUAUGGAGAAAGAUGAUAAAUUUUAUAGCAAUUCAAAAUUAUAACUAUGAUGAGCCUCUUAAAGGUCUCCAUUACAUUUUAUAUUCAAGUGCUUGUGGAAAUAUUAGCCAGACCACUUAAAUUGACAUUAUCAAUUACACCAGUGUUUCUUUCAAUUGCUUUCAUGGAGAGAAGCAUUUUUCAUGUCGCAGGGCUGGACAAUGUGGUUAGUUACGUUCUACAAGCGUGAAAAUCUGAAUAUUUGAGAUGUUAGAAAAAUUCUUUUCUAUGGUAUGAACAGUAAUUGAUAGGUUAUAUAGGUUUGCUGUGGGGGGGAGAAGAUAAGCUAAAUUAUUUUCCACAUUUUUUUACUUAAAUCUCACAGCUAAUAGAACAUUUUCUGUGGCUGCGUUUUAAGAAAUGUUCAAUGUGCUUCUUAUCUACAGAGUUGGAACUAAAGGACGAGAGCUCAGCUAAUCUAGGAAAUGCAGGAAAAUGCUGGAUGGAAGGCUCAGUGGAGUGGUCAUGCGGAUGCUCCCACAGUGGCUCUCCUUGGCACCACUGGUUAAUUGCAGAAUAAAUACUAUUCAAAUUUCCAGGGAACAAAUAGCCUCAGCACAGAUCUGAGUCUCAGACAUCUUCAGAAUUCAGCAGUUAUCAAGGAAGGAUGAAUAGUCUAUUCUUUUGAAUAAAAGACAUAAAAUGACUCCUCUCGGGCUCAGGACACUGGAGAUGUGCCUGCAGAAAGCCAGUGCCUUAAAUACUGUGUCAGAAAUGCGCGUGUGUGCACAUCCACCUGGUGACAGCCACAAAAAUGCCUUUGAGCCCAUUAGCAUCCGUAUGAGGGACGCUUCUGCUGAAAACACACCAUUUCAUGGCGGCACCUGUUUGGCUUCAGAAAAACGUGGCUCUCCUCACAAUCUAUUCUAGUUCCAGCCCUCUAGCCAACCAGACUUGUUCUGAGUAAGACAGAAAACGCACCACUGCCACGACCUGAAUCUGCUUUGGGCUGGGUGAGCAUGGAGGUGUUUCACUGGCUCAUGACGGACCCCUGAAUCCCGAGACUACAGCAGCCUCUAGAAUGGAGGGCCUCAAAACGACACUGCUGGCAGGAUUGUUCUCAAGUUCAAGACUAAAGGUUGGCAGCUCAAGGAGGGGGAUGAAAAGGAUGAGCCCAGCUACGCAUCCUCUGGUGCCUCCUCCAGGAAGCAUGAAUGAAGGUUCUGGGUAGAAGAUUCUGCACUGCACAUGAAUGUACAGCUGCUGCAUCAAUGUCAACCAAAGGCAAGAUGUAAACAAAAGGUUAUCUUGAAUCUUAUCUAAAUAUGUAAUAUUGGCACGAAUCAGUACGAGCUCACCUCCAGGGCCCUGAUUUAGGGCACUCUGGAGCCCAGUUUGAAUUUGGAGAACGGCAGGUUGAGCAAUGAAAGAUUCAGUUUAACUGACAUACUCCCGUCGGUCCUUGGCAGAUCUUGGAAAGUGUCCAAACGAGGCACAGUUUGGAAAGUUAACUGCAUAGGGACCCAAUUACAGCUAGGAAAUAUGUGGGUGUCAAAGUGAAGAGACACAAAUUCAUUUCCUGAAUCUGCUAAGGAAGUUUGGGGUCUGCUGAACCAUUUACCACUGACCAAUUUUCUCCCUACGUUCAAGGAAAUUUAAAAAUGAAAGAAAAUUUUCAAUCAAUAAUAUAAAACGUAAAGGAGGGACAAGAUCUGAAAGAGUUUCAACUUUCCAGUCUGACAUUUACUUUUCAAAUUUGAGUGAAACUGAUACCAGAGACAGAGAAGAAAACCCCCAACCAGUGGCUCAUUUUCUUUGAGGAGAACCUUUUUUUAUUAAUGCAAUUUCUUUGGUUUUCAUGAAUUUAAGAACCGUAGCUAAACAAGACAGGUUCUUGAAGAUGAGAACCUUGCAGGUUCCUCAAAGCUGAAAGAGCUGAAUUCUCACCAAUAGUUGUGCAAUUAAAAAAGAAAGAUCUUUUUAAAAAGUUUACUAAUUUUCAUGGGAUGAUCAUAUAUCAGCCAUAAGCAACUGGUCAUGAAAGGGUUUUUAACACAACAAUGUUUACCAGCAAAUUGGCUGAAAUGAUUUUAUGAAAGAAAUAUAAUGGUACAACAAAAUUACCUUUUCAUCUGUAAUUCAAAUAAUAUUCCAAAAAACCACAAAAUAUUAACAAGUUAUUCAUAAUAUGUAAUUAAUUUUUCUGUGAGCAUUGCUAUUUCUAGCCAAUUAGUGCUCCAGAGAAACACAUAUUUACUGGUUUUACAACUUAAAGCAUCCUUCUUUCUGUCCGUGGUGUCAUGUUUUAAAAUGUUUAUUUUGAGAGAGAGAGUGAGUGGGUGUGAGGGGGGGAGGGGCAGAGAGAGGCAGGGAGAAAAUCUCAAAUGGGAUCCCACUGUCAGUACAGAGCCCAAUGCGGGGCUUGAUCCCACAAACCAUGGCAUCAUGACCUGAGCCGAAAUCGAGAGACACUUAACUGACUGAGUCACCCAGGCGCCCACAUGAUAUCAUUUUUGAUGUGAAAAAUAGAAGUAGGAAAUGUGAUCAUCUUAAAUGUGAUCAUUCUUGGGGUCAAAUGAAAAUUA